AACACAUGCAAGUCGAGCGGUAGCACAGGGGAGCUUGCUCCCUGGGUGACGAGCGGCGGACGGGUGAGUAAUGUCUGGGAAACUGCCUGAUGGAGGGGGAUAACUACUGGAAACGGUAGCUAAUACCGCAUAACGUCGCAAGACCAAAGAGGGGGACCUUCGGGCCUCUUGCCAUCAGAUGUGCCCAGAUGGGAUUAGCUAGUAGGUGGGGUAAUGGCUCACCUAGGCGACGAUCCCUAGCUGGUCUGAGAGGAUGACCAGCCACACUGGAACUGAGACACGGUCCAGACUUUUACGGGAGGCAGCAGUGGGGAAUAUUGCACAAUGGGCGCAAGCCUGAUGCAGCCAUGCCGCGUGUGUUAAGAAGGCCUUCGGGUUGAAAAGCACUUUCAGCGAGGAGGAAGGUGGUGAGCUUAAUACGCUCAUCAAUUGACGUUACUCGCAGAAGAAGCACCGGCUAACUCCGUGCCAGCAGCCGCGGUAAUACGGAGGGUGCAAGCGUUAAUCGGAAUUACUGGGCGUAAAGCGCACGCAGGCGGUUUGUUAAGUCAGAUGUGAAAUCCCCGGGCUCAACCUGGGAACUGCAUUUGAAACUGGCAAGCUAGAGUCUCGUAGAGGGGGGGUAGAAUUCCAGGUGUAGCGGUGAAAUGCGUAGAGAUCUGGAGGAAUACCGGUGGCGAAGGCGGCCCCUUGGACGAAGACUGACGCUCAGGUGCGAAAGCGUGGGGAGCAAACAGGGUUAGAUACC
rnacentral:rRNA from 1 species